CCAGACUCCUACGGGAGGCAGCAGUGAGGAAUAUUGGUCAAUGGACGGAAGUCUGAACCAGCCAAGUAGCGUGCAGGAUGACGGCCCUCUGGGUUGUAAACUGCUUUUAGUUGGGAAUAAAAAGAGGGACGUGUCCCUCAUUGUAUGUACCUUCAGAAAAAGGACCGGCUAAUUCCGUGCCAGCAGCCGCGGUAAUACGGAAGGUCCAGGCGUUAUCCGGAUUUAUUGGGUUUAAAGGGAGUGUAGGCGGUCUGUUAAGCGUGUUGUGAAAUUUAGGUGCUCAACAUUUAACUUGCAGCGCGAACUGGCGGACUUGAGUGCACGCAACGUAUGCGGAAUUCAUGGUGUAGCGGUGAAAUGCUUAGAUAUCAUGACGAACUCCGAUUGCGAAGGCAGCGUACGGGAGUGUUACUGACGCUUAAGCUCGAAGGUGCGGGUAUCGAACAGGAUUAGAUACCCUGGUAGUCCACACCGUAAACGAUGAACACUAGGUGUCGGGAGGAAUCUCGGUGCCGGCGCAAACGCAAUAAGUGUUCCGCCUGGGGAGUACGUUCGCAAGAAUAAAACUCAAAGGAAUUGACGGGGGCCCGCACAAG
rnacentral:rRNA from 1 species